GGAAUAUUUUUCUGAGUAUAAGGCCGUUAGGUAUGAAGCGAGUUUACUAUAAUUGGAAUCUGUGGUGAAUUCAUGAUAGAAUAGGGAAGUUGAAUUUGGUAUAUCUAAGGAUGACAAAAGUCAAAUCCAUGAUAAGAAGAGGGUAAAUUGAUGAUUGGGAUGAAUACAUUAAGUGAAUGUUACGAGUGGUAGUGAUGAGGGGAAAAAUAUUUUGGAAUUUAGAUAAUGUGGACUUGUGUAGAUUCUUGCGUUGCCACAGCAAGUAGGAUGAUUGAAUACAUUUUGAAGGUUUGUGCAAGUGGGAAUUUAGAGGAGAUUAAAUAUAGCACAAUUUGGAUGAUGCAUGAAUAUUGAUUAUUUUUUCGCUUCAGAAUUUAAGAAAGAGACAAGAGAAUGCUAUAGAUCUCUCCUUCAAGUGUUAUGACUUCGGUAGAGAAGUUAAAAAUCUUGAUAGUUUGUAGUCCUGUUUGAGCCAAGUAGCCUACCUGGCUUGCUUGAGCCUGAAGCUUUUUAUGUAGGCUCGGGCCAAAGAUUUUGGCCCAACGAGUUGGGCCGAGCUUCAAAAAUAGUUCUAUUUAACAACUGAGCCUAGCUUAGGCUAGGGGAUUAAAGCUCAGUCAGAGCUCGGUCCAGCUCGAUUUUUUUUUUGUUUUUCUUUUGUUAUUUUCUUAUGUUUGAUGUAUUUGUAGACUUAAUUGACAAUUGUUGUUGAUAUAUGAAUUUAAUGGGAUAAUAAACAUGUUGUAUGUAGUUAGCAAUAUUUAAUUAUUUACAUUUGCAUUUUAAAAUAUUUUAAGCAUUUUUAUUAUUUAAAAAAAAUAAAAUUAGCUAUGACUCGGCCCAAAGCUCGAAAGGCUGAGCAUAGGCCUAGAAGGUAGGCUCAAAGGCCAGGCUAGGCAGGGCAUGCCGGAGUUUUUUUCUUUUCAACCUUUGGGUAAAGCCUGGUCUGAGCCCAACCAAGCUGAGCCUAUGAACAAGUCUAGUGGUUGGUUUUGAUCAACCUUUUUUUUUGGUAUAGAAUGUUUUUUUUAUAAGAUCAUUGGACAUGAAGUUCGUUUACAAAAAUGGAAGCUGUGGUGAAGUUAUGGUAUAAUAGGGGAGUUAAGUUUGGAAUUAGUAUAUGAAAGGAUUAUUAGGAGUGCAUCAAUGACAAA
rnacentral:lncRNA from 1 species